rnacentral:tRNA from 1 species
GCGCGAUUAGCUCAGGAGGUUAGAGCGCGUCACUGAUAAUGACGAGGUCGAUGGUUCAACUCCAUCAUCGCCCACCA